rnacentral:miRNA from 1 species
AAGAGAAAUGAUUGUAUGAAACAG